rnacentral:rRNA from 1 species
CAGUCGAACGAGAAUCUUUGGAAUGAUUCUUUCGGGAUGAAUUCUAAAGAGGAAAGUGGCGGACGGGCGAGUAACGCGUGAGUAACCUGCCCAUAAGAGGGGGAUAAUCCAUGGAAACGUGGACUAAUACCGCAUAUUGUAGUUAAGUUGCAUGACUUGAUUAUGAAAGAUUUAUCGCUUAUGGAUGGACUCGCGUCAGAUUAGAUAGUUGGUGAGGUAACGGCUCACCAAGUCAACGAUCUGUAGCCGAACUGAGAGGUUGAUCGGCCGCAUUGGGACUGAGACACGGCCCAGACUCCUACGGGAGGCAGCAGUGGGGAAUAUUGCGCAAUGGGGGCAACCCUGACGCAGCAACGCCGCGUGCAGGAAGAAGGUCUUCGGAUUGUAAACUGUUGUCGCAAGGGAAGAAGACAGUGACGGUACCUUGUGAGAAAGUCACGGCUAACUACGUGCCAGCAGCCGCGGUAAUACGUAGGUGACAAGCGUCGUCCGGAUUUACUGGGUGUAAAGGGCGCGUAGGCGGACUGUCAAGUCAGUCGUGAAAUACCGGGGCUUAACCCCGGGGCUGCGAUUGAAACUGACAGCCUUGAGUAUCGGAGAGGAAAGCGGAAUUCCUAGUGUAGCGGUGAAAUGCGUAGAUAUUAGGAGGAACACCAGUGGCGAAGGCGGCUUUCUGGACGACAACUGACGCUGAGGCGCGAAAGUGUGGGGAGCAAACAGGAUUAGAUACCCUGGUAGUCCACACCGUAAACGAUGGAUACUAGGUGUAGGAGGUAUCGACCCCUUCUGU